rnacentral:lncRNA from 1 species
UGCCUUCAGUUCCUUCUUCGAUAAGCUCUAUCUGUCAUAAACCAGGUCAACGUACGGGUGAUCCUGAGCUGUUGGAACAGCAGGGAAUUGCCGAGCACCAAAGAUCUUCCAUUUGUCCCACCUCCCGGGACAGGUUGCCAAGUGAAGUGCUAUCUCAUGCAUUGAGAGAGUAAGAGAUGCGCUAUAUAAGACACGGAUGCCCAAGGAUUCACAUUUUGAUGAAAUGAAGCAUGAAGUUUUUGUUUCCCUGCAGCAGUGGAGUGACACACAACUCAUGAGAAGCUGUUCAUGACCAUUCUAAAAGCAGUGCGCAACAUCUGGUAGAACUGAGAAACUUGCCAGGGACAGUUACAUGUGCCAAGUAAUCUAGAAUCAAUUAUCACCUUGUCAACUGAGUAAAAAUGACUUAAAUGCCCUAAAUUCACUCACUCAUGUGGGUUCUCUGGAACAGUUAACCGAAACCUCAGUUUCAUAAAAUAUAACUACCCCCUCAGUAAGCAUAAUUGUCACAUUCAGUCAUAUGAUCAUUCUGACCAUGUUGAAAAUAACAAGCUUUUUCAUUACGCAAUGACUCUCAGGUUUUGCUUUAUCUUUUGAAUUAAAAAAAUAUUUAAG